rnacentral:rRNA from 1 species
AUUGAACGCUGGCGGCAUGCCUUACACAUGCAAGUCGAACGGAGUUGCGAACGGGUGAGUAAUGUAUCGGAACGUGCCCAGUAGUGGGGGAUAACUUACCGAAAGGGUAGCUAAUACCGCAUACUAUUGGAUGGGCCUAUAUCGGAUUAGCUAGUUGGUGGGGGAAAGGCUCACCAAGGCGACGAGCCGUAGCUGGGUUGAGAGGACGACCAGCCAAACUGGGACUGAGACACGGGCCAGACUCCGACGGGAGGCAGAAGUGGGGAAUUUUGGACAAUGGGGGAAAUCCGGAUGCAGCCACGCCGCGUGUGCGAUGAAGGCCUUCGGGUUGUAAAGCACUUUUGGCAGGAAGGCGGUACCUGAAGAAUAAGCACCGGCUAACUACGUGCCAGCAGCCGCGGUAAUUC